rnacentral:rRNA from 1 species
GUGGCGGCGCUGCUAUACAUGCAAGUCGAACGAACUCUGGUAUUGAUUGGUGCUUGCAUCAUGAUUUACAUUUGAGUGAGUGGCGAACUGGUGAGUAACACGUGGGAAACCUGCCCAGAAGCGGGGGAUAACACCUGGAAACAGAUGCUAAUACCGCAUAACAACUUGGACCGCAUGGUCCGAGUUUGAAAGAUGGCUUCGGCUAUCACUUUUGGAUGGUCCCGCGGCGUAUUAGCUAGAUGGUGGGGUAACGGCUCACCAUGGCAAUGAUACGUAGCCGACCUGAGAGGGUAAUCGGCCACAUUGGGACUGAGACACGGCCCAAACUCCUACGGGAGGCAGCAGUAGGGAAUCUUCCACAAUGGACGAAAGUCUGAUGGAGCAACGCCGCGUGAGUGAAGAAGGGUUUCGGCUCGUAAAACUCUGUUGUUAAACAACAACAUAUCUGAGAGUCACUCGGCAAGUAUUGACCGCAUUUACCCCGCAUAGCCACGACGAGCCUCCGACGCCAGACCCCUCGA